CAACUUAUUCGGAACUGGCAUACCUUGGACAAACCUGGUGCCAGUCACAUGAGAGGAAUGUGCACACACAGGCGUGCUGCAGUGCAGACCACAACUUCAUGCUUGAAUAGUGUGCACUG